UUCUAUUAACAUAAAAGAUUCUGAUUUUAUUUUAUAUUUAAACAAGUAGAGUUUUUUUUACCAAUUUUUCUUCGGCAAAAACAAUGACAAUACAAAAGUUUUGCUUUGUUUUGCUAAAUCAAAUAUUUCUGAUUCAAUCUGACCUGUGUCCAGGAGAAAAUGGUAAAAAAUGUUGUAUUGGAUUCAAAUGGAAUGAUGCAGACAGGAAAUGUUUACCGUGUGAUGCGGGAUAUUAUGGAAGUCACUGUAGCUCAAAGUGCCUCUUUCCUUGGUAUGGAGUAAACUGUAUAUCAUACUGUAACUGUUCUGCACUCGACUGUCACCAUGUCUACGGCUGUGUGAAGUCCGAUGAAGGUAUUGUAUUUUUUUUUUUUAUUUCCUACUGUAUUCACAUCUUUUAAUUUUACAUAUAUGAUAUUAAUGGUGCCUGUUUGGGAAGAUAAAGGACAUUUUAAUUGCACGUGUAUAUUUGUUGUAUUAAAGUUAUGAAGGCAUCGAGCUUUGCAGAAUAGAAGUAACUCUUUUCAGCGGGAUGUGUAUACCUUCAUAGAACACA